AUCCAUUGACAAGGUAAAAAUUUAUUUCAUAUGUAGAUAUGAUAUGUUUAUUUUUAUCCCCCUUAGGCUCGACGCAUAGACAUUCAUCAUCAACUUCUAUUACCAUUUACCCAGUAAGUAGUAACAAUCAAUGGUUUAUGUAUAUCAUAUAGUCCAGUUGUUCCGUACUUGACCACUAGAUCCGAUUCCAAUGGAGGGCACAUUCUUAUUUCGACCUUUAAUGGUAUACGAUAAGAAACAUUGAUACUAGAGGUAAUUAUCGAAUGAGAGGUGAACAUUUGGGGUGUUUUCCAGAAGAAUGUCUUUUACUAGGGGCAUUUUAUUAGAAAGAGAUUAAGAAACCCAUUGGAUAAUACAAUGUUUACAAUCAGUAAUAGAUAUAAAUUUAUACAAUAAUCUUGUUUAAUUGACUGUUUCAUUAGGAUUAAAUGUUUGGUUUAUCAGAAUAAUAUUUUUCUAGAUCAACCUCCACAGAACACUAAAUGACUAAACAUUAUAUAUUUAAUAAUCAAUUUUUUAAAAAUGAUAUACAAUCAAGGUAUUAUACAUAUGUCCACUAAAAACCAACUGAUUAAAUUCUCUUUUUUUUCCCCCCAGACCAGAUUGAACCAAAACAGCCCAUUAGUACGACUUGUUACGCAGUCGUCGGCUCGUUCCAAGCAUGGCUUUAAGUUUCUCAGUCACAUUCCUUUUACUUGUGACCUCUUGUAUUUGUAACCACAUGGUGGCCUCUAUUUCUCGCCUAUAAAUACAUUCAGACUUCUCCCAUUCAUGUGCAGUGACAUACUAUGCUCCUUCUCAGUCAUAGAUAUCCAAGUGCACGCUGACAAGUAACUAUAUCAACUACACUUUACUAUCUUUGAACCUUCCACUAGAUGCCACAUCCAGACAUGAUGAUCUUCUGCUUUUCAUUUGAAUAAACAUGCCCUAUCGAGCUAGGUUUAUAACAAUAUGACAGCUUGUCCCUAGAUAUCUCAGCUUAUUUCUCCUGUGUCAUACCAGUUGAUAAAAAUGUGCCCCUUCCCAAUGUGAAGGUAAAGUUGAGAUGUGAUUUGUAUGUUAUAAAUGUGUUUACAAACAGCUGUAAGGUGAUCACACACUCACAGGUUGUCAUUAGAGGCAAUGUCUGCAUGUACAAUUCUGUACAAUUCUCUGAGACUGGUCCAUUAAGCUGUGCAAGCCAUACCGAUGAAGGUUACAAGGAUAAAUUAUGACUCUAACAACAUCCAUGUGUGAAACCUAUACACGAUGUGCACCCCUUGAGUUGAACCUCUACUCAAGAAUUCUGAUAUCACAUUUAACUUACUAACCCUGUAAGCAGGGGAGGGCUGGCAUUUUUUUGGGAGAACAAACAAAAUGUGC